UAGCCCUCCAGCUGAAAGCACGGCAUAGCAAAUUCGCCUUUUAGAUUCGUGCCCUGUAGGACGGUGCUCUAUUGCAGUCACCCUGCUCUGAAACCACAGACGGAGAGCAAGUGACGAGGCCGGAGCUCCAAUCAACUCAAUGGCGGCACAUUCCAUCUCAAAACUAUCCAGGCUUGGACCAUUCAAUCAGUUCAGAAAAUUGCAGCAAAAAGACUAGCAAGAGCAGCCCCUUCAAAGCGACGUGGGAUGAAUCUACUGAACUCAUGCCCAUUUGUUAUUAUUUGAAGUUGGGAUUUUUUAUGCUGGCAAAAAAACUAGCAAUGGCAGAUUUUUUAUGAUGGACCUCAUGAUGAAUUGUUAUUAUUUUUUAAGCUGGGAAUGUGCAUGUAUUGGACAGGUUUCAAAAAAUUUUUAAAAAUAUAUGAAAAAAAAUUAAAAAAAUUAUUAUAUUA